AUCCAAAGUGUUGAGUUCAGCUCUGGGUUUCUGUCCCAGUCUGGUAAUUGAACUUUGGAACAGCAAAGCGGACAGAGGUUCCUGUUCUGGUGUCACCUUCAUAUGGCAUUGGAUGACACUCUUCCCAACAUGU